ensembl:lncRNA
AAAACAAGAAAACAGGAAGAAAAGCAUUCUCGCACAGCACAACGAAGCACAUCAUCAUGACGUUACUUAUCUUUAAACAUACUUUGUUAUGUUAGCUUUUACAUGACUUUUAUACAGUUGGUAUAUAUGCUUAUUUUUAUUAUUUGAAUCUAUACAUGAUUGUGUUUUUAUGUAAAGUGACUUGAAAAGCUACUUUUAAAGGCACAAUAUUAAAUAAAGAUUAUUAAUAUUGCAGUUUAUUUGUAGUCGUUUGGGGCACGGUGACAGCACAGCGAUUUUUGCUGCAUGGUAUCAGAAGAUUUUUCCGCAGGCAGCUGACAGUUGCAUCAGUGACAUCAUGUUUUGCGUUUCGUGCUCAGCCACGAUUAAUGAUCACACUAGAUGUGUACCGUGCCAGAGUCCAACUGAACCAUGCCUGAGCCCACCUCUUCAAGUGGGCCUGGGCACGGUACGGAGUGAUCAAACUAGUCAAGCGAACUGGUCUUUGGGAGUCAAAUGUGCUCGGGCAUGGUACAGAUCAUCUAGUCUUAGUACACCCUUAGUGAAUUUAAUCAGUGAAGUAAUAAGUGAAGCUAUAAGCUCGAAGAAUAUCUCAUUUUAAAUAUAAAACUUCAGUAACGUUCCAUACAAUUUGUCUUGUUUUUAUGACUUUUUCAAUGAAAGCAUGCUGAUGUCAACUUCUUCUCCCUAACUCUGUCUAAAUGGUUUGUUCUGUAAGCCAGGGGCCAUAUAUAUCAAAUGUCUCAAGGAUCAUAUUUCUACAGUCUAAUAGCAUUCAUUAAAAAAAAUCUCAGAACUUGGGAACCCCACAGACUUAUAUUUUAAGUUAUUCAUUAUAUUUUUAGUUAUAUUUCACUAUUGAAGGUCUUUUUACUGUUUUGGUUUACUAUCUCUACUAAUCCAGCACAAAAAUAAUAUACUGUACAGUUACUCUAAUAUAACAAAAACAUUUCCAGGUGCAAUUAAAUCACAUAAUACUGUAUCUUAUAUCAUGUCUCUUUGACUUAUGCAAAAAAACAUUCUAUUCAACCUUCCACGUGUGAAAAGUAUGCAUACAUAAAUCAUGAAUCUUAGAACUUAAUCAUGAGAGAUGCAUUCAAAAACUUCACUGCUUUGAGGAAUGAAAAAGAUCUCAAAGGUCUUAAGAUGCCAUGUAUUCACUGUCAACAAAGAGGGGAACAAUAAUGGCUGACAGGUGUCCUCCCCAUUUCAGGUUGCACUUUUGUUCCACUAUGCCCUGAGUCUUCUCACAUGGAUUUUCUUUCUGUGCCUACAACCUGAUAAGACGUUUCCUUUUUUUUUUAUGUGAGCAACAUUGGUCUGGGAGUGUCUUGCGUUUUAGCCUUCUGUUAACUUUGAUCAUUCUGUUUUCACAUAAGCAAGAAAGAGAAUUGAUAGGAUUUCACUCCCACCUCCUUCAACAGCCCUCUACAAGAGUAUUACUGUAUUAGGUUUCCACAUAACUACAUUGUACUAAGGAAAAUAUGCGAGAUCAGCAGAGAUGUCUGUGGGAACCUACAGAGAUGUACAUGGCAUUAGCAAGAUGCUAGCUGUGUUUUUGUUUUCUGAAAUAGUUUGGUCUAAACAGACCAUUUAUCAUUUGUGGCCCUGUAUUCUGAUCUACAUAAUAACAUUCACAGACAUCCACACAAAGCUUAAAAUCAAGUUACCUACAAUGCUGCUGCCACAGAAGUCACAGAAAGUCCUAAAUACUGCAGAGAAGUGGAGUUCUGGCUAAAACUUGUGUAAUAAACAACAAAAUAAGAUCUAAACCCACAGUGUAGAGAUUAGGUCCAAGUUUUAAGAGAUACUGUAACUCUUAAAAUCUCUGUGUAACAAAUAUAUAAAAGCUUACACAAAGCUUAGAGGUGCCUGUUGUAAGUUAUUUGAAGGUGAAUGGUACAACUAAUAAACUGACUAUUGUGUGUAUAUCUGAAGCCGAUAGCAGGAAUUAAUGUAAAAUGGGUGAUUAUGCAGAACAGGUCUGUUAGCAAGGAAUUCUAGACCUUGGAAUUAUAAGGUCCUCUCUGAUAAUUCUGUGAUUUUAAGAUAUUGAGCCAUAAAGUAUUGGCUCUCAAUAAGGUCUAAACAAAAACAAUUAAAAAAUUAUUCUCCUAUUCAUUCAUUCAUUCAUUCAUUCAUUCAUUCAUUCAUUCAUUCAUUUUUAGUCAGCACUUUAUCUGGACAGGGUUAUGGUUGAUCUGGAGCCUAUACCUCGAACAUUCGACAUGACACAGGAAUGCACUCUGAAUGGGACCCUAGUCCAUCACAGAGCACCAUGAACACACACAUUCAUACACUCAUCCACACCUAGGGGUAAUUUAGCAAAGCCAAUCCACUUACUGGCAUGUUUUGGGAAGUAAGAGGAAACCAGAAAACCUGGAAGAAACCCACAUGAAAAAAGGACACCAUACAAACUUCACAACGCAACGCAACUGUCUUAGACACCAUGCAACUGUGCCACCCUCAGUGGCAUGUAAUUCUGUACCACUUAUCCUACACAGGGCCGUGAGGAGUCUGGAGCCUAUCCUAGGGAACUCGGGGCACAAGGCGGGAAUACCAUGGAUGGGGUGCUAACCCAUUGCAGGGCACAAUCGCGCACAAACUACGGACAAUUUGGAAAUGCCAAUCAGCCUACAAUACAUUUACUUGCAAAUUCAUAACAAUACUCCUGACUGUAUUUGUAUGAAAUGCUAUGAAAGUUAAUGUGAAGGUAAUGUCUGUACUGUCUCUUAAGAUUUAAUUUCAAAAUUAGAUCUCUUUCUCAUGGCCUGUAAAAUAAUAAUCUUACAUGGAGAUGAAAACAGUCUCCACUGUUAGAAUUGUAUACUUAUUUCAGGUGCAAAGGUCAUUCUUUUAAAUCUGACCUGUUUCCGCAAAUAUAGUGUUCUUUGGUUUCCACUUUUGCCUCUUGACAUGGUUCCAAAUCUUAGCUGCUUUAAUGUUUCAACAGAUUUUGCAGAAGCAAUUUUUUAUAUCCCCAACCAUAGCAAUGAUUACACAAUAACAAAAAGUACUCCAGUCUGAUGGGAUGCUUUAAAAACCGCCAGCUACAGACUGUACAGUUCCUUUGGAAAUAGAGAGAAAAACAUAAUCUAGCACAGACUGAUUAGAGAUCGGCAUCACUGGGUGUUUCAUCAUCGUCUCCCUGGUGCUGACUCAGCACAAAGCGCAUAACAAAUUUAAGUGUGACCUGUGUCCACAUACUGUCUAUCACUCUAAAGUGAUCCACACACCCAAACCAAACUUCCUGACUAGCUGUUUUUAGAUUGCGCACACCCCCUGUCCUCAGUGAUCAAACUGCAAACUUCUAUUCGGUGCUGAGUGCUUCCAUUAAACUAAGUAGUCCUCCACAUUUAGCUUGCGUAGCAUUUUCUUCACAUAGCUGCUAAUAAAUAGCCCACUUCAGCACAGUGUAUGGCCUGCUCUCAAUAGGCACGUAAUGAUAUACAUUAUUCUAUAAACUAGCAUGUUAAUGUGAACUGUAUGGCAUAAAUAAUCAAGUGGACCUAUUAUCAGUUCUGAUGAAAUUUGUUUAGGUUAGGAAAUCAUGCUAGUAAUUGCACACUAGGGUCAGGAAGUAAAAGUCUCAGGAAUUGGCAGCAGUUAUUUGCUGAGUAGGUGUAACGUACAGUACAAGUAGCAAUAUUUAUGCACAUAUUCAACCAAGGUCACAGAAAGAUUUUGACAAACAACACAGAUUGAUUGUAAAUGUGAUUCCAUUGAUCUAAUAAUAGGAAGUAUCUCUAACGAAUGUUUAGCAUUGGUGGCACAGCUCACAUUCUUAAAUUUCUUAUACACUUUAUUUUAGCACGUCUAGACUGUGGAGAUUAAUUAUUUCUCUAAUGGCGCUCUAGCAACCCAGAGUGUGACCCUUUACUUCAUUUAACAUGAAUGAAAAAAUCUCAUACUAACCUUUACUCUCAGCACAGUGAGCAAUCCAUCUUUUAUUUGACCUCAUCUCCCAUCUCUCUUCACCUGGAAUAAGAAUAAACAGUAGCAUGUCAUAUGAAAGAACCGCAGAUGGCUCCAUAUUGCCAGUUGAAUCAGAUCAAACCUUCUAAUCUUGACCUACUUUUCCUCCCACAUAUAUCCCUUUUACCAAGGUAGAUAAACCCAUGCUCUCACCACACAUCUAACAAUAUAGAAGCAAAGUGCAGCAUGGCGUGCAUUCUGCAUCUCUCCUCAUAGCUGAGGUACACCGAAACAGUUUCAGCUAUUAUAAAUCAUUUACUGCACAGUCCAUUCCUGCUUUAAGGGGGUACAUUAGGCUAUACACUUAACUCUGGUUGAAAAUACUGUAUGCUCUUCAAGGAUCGCUUGUUUGUCAUUGUAUGUGUGUGUCAUGACCUGUGACCUGGUGGCUUUCGUGUCACUUGAGUAACUGCUUUUGUAUAUAUGUGUCUAUUAAUGAUCAUAAGACUUGGAGCGCCAUUUUCAUGCAGUGUAAUUUAGUGAUACUGUAUAACACUGGUAUAUUGCAGUUUUUUCCUAUUAUUACCCAGUUGCUAUUUUUGUGUUCAUAAAUAAACACUAAAAUGGCUGGCGCAGUGCAACAGGGGCUAUAACGUUCAAAAUCUAUCAUCAUAGUGAUAUUUUUUAAAUCCAUAAGGACCAAAUUCUAUUGUACAUUACUGCCUAUGGAGAUCCUGAUGCUAAAAUGGUAUUUUCCUGUCCAAUUUCUUCCAAGAUGGUUUAGCUGAUGUACACUAUUAAUGUCAUGUCACUUCAAUAUCAAGAGGCUUCUUAUCCAAAUAAUAACUAAAUAUAACUGAGUCAAUCAUUUUAUUUAUAUCAAAUAAGAUCAAACAGAUCAGCUCUGGCUACCAAAUGUGGAUCAGACAAUCGAGACAUAAUUACAUGUGGACUAUCGCUUAAUUAAUGCAAUCAACUGAAUGUCUGACAAAACUAAUUCAAUGCUAAUGGCUACAGAGACCAGGAGUUGGCUGAUAUAGAUCGUUCCAGAGGCUCGCACAUGUAAGUGAAAAAGAAAAUAGAAAACACAUUUAUUGUAAGUUUUGUCAGCCAGUUGGUUAUUUCUACCCCUACAAUAUUGCAGAGAAAUAUACAAGUGGAAUCUAAUAGUAUAUUAUUAUCGAAAUAUUACUGCACUGAACCGCAGUCUUUAAAAAGAGCGAGAUGAGAUUGCUGACAUUGUUUGGAUCGUCUACCACACAUUGUGGUAAUGUACUCAUACUAAUGAUGUGACUACAUUACACAACAUAAAGAUUAUAUAAUGCUGCAUUUGUUGUAUGAUCAGGUAUGUCAUGUGGUAGGCAAUUUAGGUUAUAAACACACUACUUAAUCUCAGAAAAACUCCAAGGUACCAGCAAAGACAGUUCAGCUUGGCAAAGAGACAGCGAGAGAAAAUUAGACUUGACGUAAACAUGAACACUGACUACAAACCUGUAAUAAUAAAGUGUAAGCUUUUAUUGUCGAUAUUAUACACCAUAAGUGAAAAAGAUCAAUUGUGUGCAUGAACAUGAAUUUAAAAAAACAACAACUUCUCCUGGGGAAAAAAGACAAAAAACAGUCUCGUCGUCAAUACAGGUUUUCAGUUUUAAUGUGAUCAGGACAUGAGACAACGGAGAGACAGCAGAUAUGCAUGCAACCCCCUCUCUCUUUCUUUGCCUGCUCUGCCCUGGGCAGCAAUAGUUUGGUAUUGCCAAGGCAAGCUGGAUAGUUACCAUGGAGAUCUGUAUAAACCUCGACUCCGCCACCCUACAAGACGGGUGAGGCCAUGCAUUUGGGCGUGCACACACAUACACACACACACACACACACACACACACACACACACACACACACACACAGAAACCCACACAGGUAGUCACACAUCCCUGUCUUGUGCCAGAGGCUCCAAUUUUUUAUAUGUGUGUAAAUUAACUCAUGUUUAUCUAAAGAAGGAGAAAAUAGCCCUUCCUCCUAAUAGCUUACUCACUAUAACCAAGGCUGAGGGAUUACCUAUAAAACCGAAUAGUGGAUUUAAAGGAUUAUAACUAUUAAAAUUAGCAACACUUUUAAAAGCACAAUUAACAUUUUGGACACAAUUACAUACUCUGUUCUCUACACCUAAUUUUAACAUUUUCUUUUGUAUUAAAUGUUUUUUAUUUUUAGUUUUUUUUAAUGUGGCUGUGAUUAAAAUUAAACGUGUGUGCAUUGUGUGUGUGUGUGUGUGUGUGUGUGUGUGUGGACAUGUGGAGUUCAGACCACAGUUCAUCCAGAAGUGAUUCUUUUCAUUAGCUAUUAUAAAUAAUUUAUCAGUGAGGCUGUUCUCUACAAAAACAGCACUUGCAGUUACAUACACCAUGUAGGCCACACACACACACACACACUCUCUCUCUCUCUCUCUCUCUCUCUCUCUCUCUCUCACAAAACCCAGAGGCAGUAACUCCCACAUAGAUAUUUUGUUACCAUCAUUCAGCACUUUUACAGAAAAGUCUUCAACUGCAGUAAGUACAAACAUCCUGAUCACAUUCAUUACCAUCAUGUAUAGUACCUUCAGUAGAGAGACAGCACAAAACAUCAAGGGUUAAUAUUCAAUCUUGCAUCUACUCCUCUUUCUGCCUCUUUUGUAUAUCCAAGAUGGAAGCACCAUUCUCGAACGCACACGCUAAAAAUAAUCCUCCAUGAUUGGAGGGAUGAAGUGUCAAUUAUUCUUAUGCAAAUGUGCCCAGUUUCUCACGUUUCCAAAGAGAAAGACCACAGAUGGCUACACAGAAAUCUCUGCGCGAGGCUACCAGACAAAAAGAGCUUGCAUAAUAAUGUGACGCCGCUAUUUGCAUGUCUGUCUUCCGCCGCAAUGAAAAAUCAAGCACAGCGGAGAGGGUUCAUGCAAUCGUAAGUGCCUUGAAAACAGACAAUAUGGAUGCGCUCAUUAAAAGGAUAGCUAAUUUACAUACAUCGAUGCAAAAAUAGCACAUUAGCAUGCUACAGUUCUUUCCUAAUACUUGAUUAUAAAAAUGUUGUUGUUGUUUGUUUUUUUUUUAAAGACGAGAUUUUCGUUCUCUUCUUAUCCAAUAAGCAUGCCAUUGAGGAAAUCUUAAGGAAAUCUGCACCCAUAACCUUUCUACCCUUCAAAUACAUUCUACAUUGAAUAUGUGACCUAUUUUCUCACGUGUGGAACGUGUGGAUGACGUGUGGAACUACUCAGACCUAAUUACACAUCUGAAGCGUUCGUGUUAAUCGAAGCAAAUCUCCUGCACCUGCCAAUCAAGCGAUUUCAUCUUGAGAAAGCAAACCCGGGUUUGGUAAAAUGUGUGCAAGAACAACAGAAUUGUAAAAAGGAAAAAGGAAGACAAACAGUGAAAGAGAAAGGCAGGGGCAUGAGCGAAAGAACAUGAAGCUGCUCUGCCAGUGUGACCCGAACAAGUCGCUAAAAUGUGAUUCCUGACAGUUCGCUCACACUCGGCCUAAGAGACAGCAGCCUCUUUGCUUUCACACUAAAAACCAUGAUUUUGUCUCAGACAAGUCUGCCACCUGACACACCUGCUGUGGAAGCUCGAAACUAGAAAGACAAAUAUGCGGAUAAGCUCCAGCAGGCUAGAGUGGAAAUGGUGGACUGUUAGCUUUCAGCCCGAGAAAGAAUGAGAAUGAUAGCAUGUCACGAAAUUAACGUUCAAAACAAUGUAAUACUGUAUUAUGCAAAUUCUAACAAGCAAAUUUCAAAUUAGUUGGAAGAAGACCUAUCGGUUUAACCCAGGUCCUCGUACUAAGCUAAGCAUUAGCAACUUUUCCUCUGUCUUUUUUUAAUGUAGGAAAGAACAGCCUGGUUUAAAUGUUUUCCUAGUAUGAAAUGUUUAAACACGAGACAGGAAUAAAGGAAUGCUGACCUUCCCAGCUGAUGCUGUACUGGAAAAUGGGGAAAGAACAUGAUAAAAAAAAGCUUUUCAGCUCCCAAAGAGUGGAUCAAGAAACCUGCUGUGGCAUCCUGUUACAUGGUGACAAUGGAGCUCUUUCAAAAUGAGUCGAAACAUUGCAGCCAGGUCGUCAAGUUCUGCUGAUUGUCUCACACAGGGUCAAAAGCGACAGGAGAGAAGGAGUUUGUGGAGUUAUCUUAGACGAUAAUGGCCGUCUCCGGUUCGAGAUAGGCUUGCUGUGUUAACUUUGUUUUGACCCUUCUGUCUCCUAAACUAUUGUUGUCCAAAGAGUCAGAGACCUGUCAUACCAUUUAUGCCAUAUAACCAUCUGGAUGUUGGACUAUGUUACCAAUUUUGGAUUGACUUCUGCACUAAUAUUGUUAUUACAAAACGAUGACACGUUAGAACCGGUUUUAAGACAAUUCAUCGUAAGAAUUUUCUUGAAGUCAUCAGAUCCAGCAGGAUUAAAAGAAACUAUUAAUCAUUCAGAUUUUUGAAGAAAUAUGAGGCACUCAGAAUGAUAAUCGAUUUUAAAAAUCCUGUAAUAUUUCUUGGCUACUCAGUCAUAGUUAUAGUUAAAACACAUGCCUACGCUUUUCAGCCAUUAAUGCCUUCAUCAUGGUAAGUGACUUGCUAACAUCUAGAAGAAACAGCCCAAGAGCACCCAUUUUGACUUGCCUUGAUGAAGGCAUGUGUUUAAACUGUUACUAUGACUGAGUAGCCAAGAGAUAUUAAAGGCUUUUCUGAGUGCCUCAUCGUUCUUCAGUAAUACACCAGAAGUAGGAUCCCCAUACCAAAGCGCACCAGAGGGAUAUGUUUAUCUACACCCGAGCAGCACUCUAUGCAAACGUUUUUGAUAAACUAUUAAUCAUGUAUAUCCUUAGCUAAACUUUCUCAAUGUAUUAGAAAACCGUUUUACAGUAUUAUGUGGAAUCUUUAGAUAAUUCAUUUGAGCAUUCCCAAAUAAAUCUUAUUUCACAAACAUCUUUAAUCAUCAUAGUCGAACAUUUGCAAUUUAUAAUAAUUCCCACAGUGAGGUUAAGGUUGGGACAAGGCUAAUGUAGUUUGUACGUUUUCCUAACACCUUAUUGGUAUCUACGCACUCUGUCCUUGUUUGAAUUCAUACAAAUAAAUGCUCAUGACAUCAUGUUCCUUUAGCACAAUGGCUUACUCCAGGUCAAGGUCCAGUUACAAAGGUCUGGAUAAGCAACUAGCAUGACCGAAUGGCUAUAGCAGUUACCUUUUAACACUUAACCGUGUCAUGAAAGUGUGUGAAAUCUCUCUCCUUUCUGAGCUAAUGUCUUUAGCCCUGUAGCUAGUCUGUGGUCCGAUGAGCUGCUUUCAGCUAAAACAUUUACAUGAAUGCAUGUCAUUGGAUAAACCGUAACAGAGGAUCUGCUAGAGCUGCUGGUUCAAAACUAGCAUCGGUGAACUACACCCAGUUUUUUCAUACAUUUAUCAGGUCUGCUACAGUAUUUCUCAAGAUCUCACUGAAAUUUUUUGCUGGUUUCAUAUCUGGACCACGGUCCACUAGUUGAUAUUCCAUGGCUAGUUGAUUACUAUUAGCCUAACAUGACUCAGAUUCUGAACUAUGGUAUUAAUCAGUCUGUAUAGGAUUUCAUGGAGUUUUUUUUAUGAUUGUUGCGGCCAAAAAUGCUUGAUUUUGCUGCAGCUUUUUUCAAGAUUUGCAAUGCAACUUGUGGCGUUAUUGGUGGGUUUUUGAAUUGGCGAAACUGCAAUUGCAGGAAAUUAUUUCAAACGGUCUUUCACAGUGAUGAAAUGAGACCUUUCAGCUGUACUCAUGUUCGAUGCAUGUGAAUCGAAGAGGGCUUUGACUGAAUGCACGUUGUGAUGAUGUCACAUGAUGCCCAAAUCUGGAGAAAAUCUGCGGUAAUUUUGUACAAUUGCAAGCUUCUCUGAAUAUUGUGGGUUUUGUGUUCAUUUCUGCGAAUCGUGAAACCCUGGAGGAACUGUUUAAUACAACUGUAAAAGAUCAGGUUUGUGACCUGCUCAAGACUGACCCAACUAAUUAUUCAUUAUUUAGGCUUAUUCCUCACUAGCAAUACUGUAUCCAAUGUAGCAGAUAUAUGCAUGGCCUAGAUACUGUCACCUCCAUGAUGGACAAAAGCUCACACACACUCAGAACUCUGUAACCCAAUGUCUUUUAUUUUCACCUACACCCCCACUCCUGAAAAAAAAAAAUGUGUGUCUCUAUGUUUGUGUGUGUCAAACACAUCAAAAACCGUAAGGUGAAUCCUUUUGAGCUGGCAGCACGGUUGGCCACAGGAUGAAUAAACAUCCAUGUCAGGGGAAACUGAUACACUCCCUUUUCAGCCAGACGGGCCUCUCGUGGGAAAAACAGCUCAUACACAAUGGACAGAGACGGCCUUUUGUUGAGGCUCUCAGAGAUGUGGGCUAGCUCUUCUCUCCAGCCUGUGCCAUGAACAGACCACUCCCCUCAGCUCUCACAGUGACUCAAACACACACACACACACACACACACACACACACACACACACACACACACACACACACACACACACACACACACAGUUUGUUCCUUCCUUCAGAAACAACAUACAAAUCUUUUUGAUUCUUCUUUGCAAAGAAAAGACAUUAACAAGAAAAAAAUGUUAGGAAUAGGAAAAAGAACGAGCGAGAAAGUGUGUGUAGCUUAGCCCAUGCUUAAACCACCCCCAGAGGGGGUUUAACACCAGAUCUAAAUCCUUGAGAUAGUGUCCUGCCAUGACAUCGCUCUAAAAAAGUCCACAUGCUAGAGCCCACAGCAGGUUAGCCUGGGGGAAUUUAUGUACUCCUUUGACCAAGAUUCAAAGAUUUUAGCUUUAGACAGCUGAGGGUUUGGGGGUAAGGGGGAAGGUGGGGGUAUUUCCUCAUUGGGUGGGUUGCUCAAUCUUUCAGUCUUCAUACUGAACCUGAACUUGACAUUGAUGAUUUUCUCUCUUUUCUCACAAGAAAUCACACUGGGUCAUUUCCUUGAAGGAAAGAGUUUGACCACAUACCUUGUCAUUUUAUAUUUUUAGGAUUUGGACAGUCAGAGGAGAAAAAAAAAACAUCCUUUAAACUCCAUUUAGAAACUCACUCCAUAUUCUUCUUUUAUGCUAAUUUCAUUUACCAUUUAAAGCAUUGCCACUAAUCAAUACACUAUUCUCAAAUUACUGUUAAUAUUGACAUCUUAAUUGGUCUGGACUACUCUGACUUGAGAAAAGUUGGCUCUCUUUUUUCCCCAGGCAAUCACAUAGACACCUUCUCUCCCUUGCCCAAUUGUUUGCUUUCAGCUCCAAUUUGGGGCACAAUAAAGUUGUUAUGCAUGGCAGGUUUGGAAAUGGACGUGGCUCGAGCUGGUGCUAGAGUCUGGCUCAGUUACUGGGCCUGCGAGGAGGAACUCACAUGCUGAUGCUGAGACGUUCUCAGGCUGAUAAAAAAUAAUCAUAUUCAACUCAGAUGUUGAAAUCUGGGGACAUGAACAAAUCUUCUUAUACACCAUUGCUCUAUGGAAGAGACUUUUAAAAAUAUUACUAUUACUGUUCACAGUCUAUAUGAAUCCUCU